rnacentral:tmRNA from 1 species
GGGGGCGCAACGGUUUCGACGGGAUUGAUUCGUUGUGUCGGGGCGUGUCGGGUUCCGAGCUCCCGUUAAACGAUCGGAAAACAACAACUGCCAACACGCAGUUUGCAUACGCUGCUUAAUUAAAUAAGUAGCCGCUUCGGGUGUUAGGUCUGCAUGGCAUCCAGUAAGCGUCUUAUGGCAGGCUGGGCUGAGGGCUUCUGUUCGUAGCCUAUAGGCCGAGAUCAAUCGGACUAAGCUGACCUGUUCUUGCCAAUUCCUCACAGGUUGGUCGAAAACUAAUGAAUUGGAUACACACGUAGUCGCGGCACGGCGGGCAUUUUCGGACGCGGGUUCGACUCCCGCCGCCUCCACCA